GACACGGCCCAGACUCCUACGGGAGGCAGCAGUAGGGAAUCUUCCGCAAUGGACGAAAGUCUGACGGAGCAACGCCGCGUGAGUGAUGAAGGCCUUCGGGUCGUAAAGCUCUGUUGUUAGGGAAGAACAAGUACCGUUCAAAUAGGGCGGUACCAUGACGGUACCUAACCAGAAAGCCACGGCUAACUACGUGCCAGCAGCCGCGGUAAUACGUAGGUGGCAAGCGUUGUCCGGAAUUAUUGGGCGUAAAGGGCUCGCAGGCGGUUCCUUAAGUCUGAUGUGAAAGCCCACGGCUCAACCGUGGAGGGUCAUUGGAAACUGGGGAACUUGAGUACAGAAGAGGAGAGUGGAAUUCCACGUGUAGCGGUGAAAUGCGUAGAGAUGUGGAGGAACACCAGUGGCGAAGGCGACUCUCUGGUCUGUAACUGACGCUGAGGAGCGAAAGCGUGGGGAGCGAACAGGAUUAGAUACCCUGGUAGUCCACGCCGUAAACGAUGAGUGCUAAGUGUUAGAGGGUUUCCGCCCUUUAGUGCUGCAGCAAACGCAUUAAGCACUCCGCCUGGGGAGUACGGUCGCAAGACUGAAACUCAAAGGAAUUGACGGGGGCCCGCACAAGCGGUGGAGCAUGUGGUUUAAUUCGAAGCAACGCGAAGAACCUUACCAGGUCUUGACAUCCCAUGACAACUCUAGAGAUAGAGCGUUCCCCUUCGGGGGACAUGGUGACAGGUGGUGCAUGGUUGUCGUCAGCUCGUGUCGUGAGAUGUUGGGUUAAGUCCCGCAACGAGCGCAACCCUUGAUCUUAGUUGCCAGCAUUUAGUUGGGCACUCUAAGGUGACUGCCGGUGACAAACCGGAGGAAGGUGGGGAUGACGUCAAAUCAUCAUGCCCCUUAUGACCUGGGCUACACACGUGCUACAAUGGAUGGUACAAAGGGCUGCGAGACUGCGAAGUUAAGCGAAUCCCAUAAAACCAUUCUCAGUUCGGAUUGCAGGCUGCAACUCGCCUGCAUGAAGCUGGAAUCGCUAGUAAUCGUGGAUCAGCAUGCCACGGUGAAUACGUUCCCGGGCCUUGUACACACCGCCCGUCACACCACGAGAGUUUGUAACACCCGAAGUCGGUGGAGUAACCGUAAGGAGCUAGCC
rnacentral:rRNA from 2 species